CAGCAGCCGCGGUAAUACCGGCGGCCCGAGUGGCGGCCACUAUUAUUGGGCUUAAAGCGUCCGUAGCCGGGUUGGUUAGUCUCCCGGGAAAUCUGGCCGCUUAACGGUCAGAAUGCCGGAGGAUACUCCCAGCCUAGGGAGCGGGAGAGGCCGAGGGUAUUCCCGGAGUAGGGGUGAAAUCCUAUAAUCCCGGGAGGACCACCUGUGGCGAAGGCGCUCGGCUGGAACGCGUCCGACGGUGAGGGACGAAGGCCAGGGGAGCAAACCGGAUUAGAUACCCGGGUAGUCCUGGCUGUAAACGAUGCGGACUUUGUGUCGGACAAGCUAUGAGCUUGUCCGGUGCCGGAGGGAAACCGUUAAGUCCGCCGCCUGGGGAGUACGGCCGCAAGGCUGAAACUUAAAGGAAUUGGCGGG
rnacentral:rRNA from 1 species